rnacentral:rRNA from 1 species
UACAGAGGUCCCGAGCGUUGUUCGGAUUCACUGGGCGUAAAGGGUGCGUAGGUGGUGAGGUAAGUCGGAUGUGAAAUCUCCAGGCUCAACCUGGAAACUGCAUUGGAAACUACCUUGCUGGAGGAUUUGAGGGGGGAUUGGAAUACUUGGUGUAGCAGUGAAAUGCGUAGAUAUCAAGUGGAACACCAGUGGCGAAGGCGAAUCCCUGGACCUGUACUGACGCUCAUGCACGAAAGCGUGGGGAGCAAACAGG